UACGUAGGGUGCGAGCGUUAAUCGGAAUUACUGGGCGUAAAGCGUGCGCAGGCGGUUUUGUAAGCCAGAUGUGAAAUCCCCGGGCUCAACCUGGGAAUGGCAUUUGGGACUGCAAGGCUCGAGUGCGGCAGAGGGGGAUGGAAUUCCGCGUGUAGCAGUGAAAUGCGUAGAUAUGCGGAGGAACACCGAUGGCGAAGGCAAUCCCCUGGGCCUGCACUGACGCUCAUGCACGAAAGCGUGGGGAGCAAACAGG
rnacentral:rRNA from 1 species